rnacentral:rRNA from 1 species
UACGGGGGGAGCAAGCGUUGUUCGGAUUUACUGGGCGUAAAGGGCGCGUAGGCGGUCGUGACAAGUCACUUGUGAAAUCUCCGGGCUUAACUCGGAACGGUCAAGUGAUACUGUCGGACUAGAGUACAGAAGGGGCAACUGGAAUUCCUGGUGUAGCGGUGGAAUGCGCAGAUAUCAGGAGGAACACCGGUGGCGAAGGCGGGUCUCUGGGCCGAUACUGACGCUGAGAAGCGAAAGCGUGGGGAGCGAACAGG